GGGCGGUUAGCUCAGUUGGUUAGAGCAUCGCGUUGACAUCGCGAAGGUCGUAGGUUCGAGCCCUAUACCGCCCACUA
rnacentral:tRNA from 1 species